UCAGUGUGAAUGUAGAGGUGGCUGUGAUACCAGCUGCCAUGGAGUCAGUGUGAAUGUAUCGGUGGCUGUGAUACCAGCUGCCAUGGAGUCAGUGUGAAUGUAGAGGUGGCUGUGAUACCAGCUGCCAUGUGAUCAGUGUGAAUGUAGAGGUGGCUGUGAUACCAGCUGCCAUGUGAUCAGUGUGAAUGUAUCGGUGGCUGUGAUACCAGCUGCCAUGGAGUCAGUGUGAAUGUAUCAGUGGCUGUGAUGCCAGCUGCCAUGUGAUCAGUGUGAAUGUAGAGGUGGCUGUGAUACCAGCUGCCAUGUGAUCAGUGUGAAUGUAUCGGUGGCUGUGAUACCAGCUGCCAUGGAGUCAGUGUGAAUGUAUCAGUGGCUCUGAUGCCAGCUGCCAUGUGAUCAGUGUGAAUGUAGAGGUGGCUGUGAUACCAGCUGCCAUGUGAUCAGUGUGAAUGUAUCGGUGGCUGUGAUACCAGCUGCCAUGGAGUCAGUGUGAAUGUAUAAGUGGCUGUGAUACCAGCUGCCAUGUGAUCAGUGUGAAUGUAGAGGUGGCUGUGAUACCAGCUGCCAUGUGAUCAGUGUGAAUGUAGACGUGGCUGUGAUACCAGCUGCCAUGGAGUCAGUGUGAAUGUAUCAGUGGCUGUGAUGCCAGCUGCCAUGGAGUCAGUGUGAAUGUAUCGGUGGCUGUGAUACCAGCUGCCAUGGAGUCAGUGUGAACGUAUCGGUGGCUGUGAUACCAGCUGCCAUGGAGUCAGUGUGAAUGUAUCGGUGGCUGUGAUACCAGCUGCCAUGGAGUCAGUGUGAAUGUAGAGGUGGCUGUGAUGCCAGCUGCCAUGGAGUCAGUGUGAAUGUAUCGGUGGCUGUGAUACCAGCUGCCAUGGAGUCAGUGUGAAUGUAUCAGUGGCUGUGAUACCAGCUGCCAUGGAGUCAGUGUGAAUGUAGAGGUGGCUGUGAUACCAGCUGCCAUGGAGUCAGUGUGAAUGUAGAGGUGGCUGUGAUACCAGCUGCCAUGUGAUCAAUGUGAAUGUAGAGGUGGCUGUGAUACCAGCUGCCAUGGAGUCAGUGUGAAUGUAUCAGUGGCUGUGAUGCCAGCUGCCAUGGAGUCAGUGUGAAUGUAUCGGUGGCUGUGAUACCAGCUGCCAUGGAGUCAGUGUGAAUGUAGAGGUGGCUGUGAUACCAGCUGCCAUGGAGUCAGUGUGAAUGUAGAGGUGGCUGUGAUACCAGCUGCCAUGGAGUCAGUGUGAAUGUAGAGGUGGUUGUGAUACCAGCUGCCAUGUGAUCAAUGUGAAUGUAGAGGUGGCUGUGAUACCAGCUGCCAUGGAGUCAGUGUGAAUGUAUCAGUGGCUGUGAUGCCAGCUGCCAUGGAGUCAGUGUGAAUGUAUCGGUGGCUGUGAUACCAGCUGCCAUGGAGUCAGUGUGAAUGUAGAGGUGGCUGUGAUACCAGCUGCCAUGGAGUCAGUGUGAAUGUAGAGGUGGCUGUGAUACCAGCUGCCAUGGAGUCAGUGUGAAUGUAUCGGUGGCUGUGAUACCAGCUGCCAUGUGAUCAGUGCGAAUGUAGAGGUGGCUAUGAUACCAGCUACCAUGGAGUAAGUGUGAAUGUAGAGGUGGCUGUGAUACCAGCUGCCAUGUGAUCAGUGUGAAUGUAUCGGUGGCUGUGAUACCAGCUGCCAUGGAGUCAGUGUGAAUGUAGAGGUGGCUGUGAUACCAGCUGCCAUGUGAUCAGUGUGAAUGUAGAGGUGGCUGUGAUACCAGCUGCCAUGUGAUCAGUGUGAAUGUAUCGGUGGCUGUGAUACCAGCUGCCAUGGAGUCAGUGUGAAUGUAGAGGUGGCUGUGAUACCAGCUGCCAUGUGAUCAGUGUGAAUGUAGAGGUGGCUGUGAUACCAGCUGCCAUGGAGUAAGUGUGAAUGUAGAGGUGGCUGUGAUACCAGCUGCCAUGUGAUCAGUGUGAAUGUAGAGGUGGCUGUGAUACCAGCUGCCAUGGAGUCAGUGUGAAUGUAGAGGUGGCUGUGAUACCAGCUGCCAUGGAGUCAGUGUGAAUGUAGAGGUGGCUAUGAUACCAGCUACCAUGUGAUCAGUGUGAAUGUAUCAGUGGCUGUGAUACCAGCUGCCAUGGAGUCAGUGUGAAUGUAUCAGUGGCUGUGAUGCCAGCUGCCAUGUGAUCAGUGUGAAUGUAGAGGUGGCUGUGAUACCAGCUGCCAUGUGAUCAGUGUGAAUGUAUCGGUUGCUGUGAUACCAGCUGCCAUGGAGUCAGUGUGAAUGUAUCAGUGGCUCUGAUGCCAGCUGCCAUGUGAUCAGUGUGAAUGUAGAGGUGGCUGUGAUACCAGCUGCCAUGUGAUCAGUGUGAAUGUAUCGGUGGCUGUGAUACCAGCUGCCAUGGAGUCAGUGUGAAUGUAUAAGUGGCUGUGAUACCAGCUGCCAUGUGAUCAGUGUGAAUGUAGAGGUGGCUGUGAUACCAGCUGCCAUGUGAUCAGUGUGAAUGUAUCGGUGGCUGUGAUACCAGCUGCCAUGGAGUCAGUGUGAAUGUAUCAGUGGCUGUGAUGCCAGCUGCCAUGUGAUCAGUGUGAAUGUAGAGGUGGCUGUGAUACCAGCUGCCAUGUGAUCAGUGUGAAUUUAGAGGUGGCUGUGAUACCAGCUGCCAUGGAGUCAGUGUGAAUGUAGAGGUGGCUGUGAUACCAGCUGCCAUUGAGUCAGUGUGAAUGUAGAGUAUCACAGCCACCUCUACAUUCACACUGACUCUAUGGCACUGGGAAAGAUAAAAGAAAGUUAUCUUAUUAAUACUUUCAAACCAAAAUUAAAUGGCCUCCAAUAAUUGAAUAAUUUUAUGCGAUUAUUGUACAUUUUACUGCCACUACAAUUCUUAUUUCUGUAUGUGUCGUACGCCUCCUCCACACAAUGUUAUGCGUCUUAUUGUGAUGUCACAAAGUUAGAUUGCACUAUGAUGUCAUACUAUGUUAGACUGCACUGUGAUGUCAAAACAGCAUAACGGUAUAUCUGAACUCACAUUCGUGAAACCGGUUGAUUAAAAUAUACAGCUCAUCUUUGGACUUUCUUCUCAGGGAUAUUAAUAACUUCAGCAUAUCAACAUAGGAAUAUUUCAUAACCAUGCUUUGGGCCGCAAUAAGUAUCUUGUGGGUGGCAAUCCCCAUGAAAGUUAUAUAUCAUUAUUAUAUCUGAGUUAUUUUAAUCUUCAUGUGUGCAGCUGAGGUGUAACAACUUCAUUGACAUCUUAUGCAUAAUGCAUAUGUCGAAGAACUGUUAUGAACACUCCUUCAAUAUAUUUAGUAUUUGAUCCUUCAAUAUAUUUAAUAUUGAUUUGAUGUUUGAUACUGCGAUAUUUUUGUAGAUCAUCACUUUCUACAAAAUAUGUUAUUUUAAUGAAAUGUUAACAAAUAGUAGUAUGCAAACUUUGAUGAAAGAGACUGAAUAUCACUAGUGUCCUUACAUUCCCUUUUAGACCAUGCUGUGAUGACAUUUAGUAUAUUUUGAAAUAAAAGAGAAAAUAUGAUUUGUGUUCAGAUUGUUAAUGAGGUGGAUUCAGUGAAGAAUAAAUAAAACCACUCAGAGGUUAUUGUAUAAUAUGAUAAAUUCUACCAUGACAUUGAAGAACGUUUCUUUCUGAUUGGUCAAAACUGGAUACUGAUGAUACCCUCUAAAUUAGCAAGCCUUUUCACAGGAACAGUGUGUGUGAAUAUCCUACAUAUGUGAGCAAUGGAAGCAUGGCGGAGCUAAAUCAGAAGAUUAUGAAUAAGGUGGGUGCCGAAGGAGUUGAAAGUCAGGCUUGUGGAUUAUAGCCAUGGCAGUGACUGACUUGUGCACUUGUGCAUUGUCCUGAUGGGAGGGCACACAUUUUGCCAGCUACCCACUUAUCGUAGUCUUAAUUUCAACCCAUAAGUGCUUCAAACGUGUGGCAUAAUAUGCUCUGUUUAGUUUAUCGUCUGACCGUUUGGAAAAUAGUCCACAAUGAUGACACCUUUGGCAUCGCUGAACACGGAGGCCAUAACCUUUCCGGCUGAUGGUUAAUCUUUGCCUUGGUGAACACAGGUUUCAUCCGUUGUCACAAAUUGUUGCAAGAACCUUUCUGGAUCAGCUUCAAACAGAACUAGAUUAUCACUAGAUAUGUGUGUUGUGCCUGGUGGUCCUUGGAGGCUUUGGAUCCCAAAGAGCUCAUGCUUUCUGUGAUUAUGGAAUGUAGUCUGUCCUGGGAAAUGCUUAUUGAACUGGUGAUAUAACGCUCAUAACGAUAUU
rnacentral:lncRNA from 1 species